rnacentral:rRNA from 1 species
CAGUCGCCACGGUAAUACAGAGGGUGCGAGCGUUAAUCGGAUUUACUGGGCGUAAAGCGUGCGUAGGCGGCUUCUUAAGUCGGAUGUGAAAUCACUGAGCUUAACUUAGGAAUUGCAUUCGAUACUGGGAAGCUAGAGUAUGGGAGAGGAUGGUAGAAUUCCAGGUGUAGCGGUGAAAUGCGUAGAGAUCUGGAGGAAUACCGAUGGCGAAGGCAGCCAUCUGGCCUAAUACUGACGCUGAGGUACGAAAGCAUGGGGAGCAAACAGGAUUAGAUACCCCGGUAGUCCCUGUCUCUUAUAC